GGAGUUGUGGCUCAGCAGUAGAGCGCUCGCCUAGCACACGUGAGGCACUGGGUUCAAUUCUCAGCACCA
rnacentral:tRNA from 1 species